rnacentral:pre_miRNA from 1 species
AAUAGGGUGUUAGUGAAACAAGGUGAGAGAGAUAGAAAGAGAAAUAACCCUAUUUCUCUUUCUAUCUCUCUCACCUUGUUUCACUAACACCCUAUU